rnacentral:rRNA from 1 species
CGAACGGGUGCGUAACACGUGAGCAACCUACCGAAAUGCGGGGGAUAGCCGGCCUAACGGCCGAGUAAUACCGCAUACGCUCUUUAUGAGGCAUUUCAUGGAGAGGAAACCUACGGGGUAUUUCGAGGGGCUCGCGGCCUAUCAGCUAGUUGGCGAGGUAACGGCUCACCAAGGCAACGACGGGUAGCUGGUCUGAGAGGAUGGCCAGCCACAUUGGGACUGAGAUACGGCCCGG